GCGCGAAAACUUUACAAUGCCGGCAACGGCGAUAAGGGGACCUCGAGUGCCAGGUUACAAAUCUGGCUGUCGUGAUGCCUAAAAAGCAUUGCAUAGCAAGGGCCGGGCAAGACCGGUGCCAGCCGCCGCGGUAACACCGGCGGCUCGAGUGGUAACCGUUAUUAUUGGGUCUAAAGGGUCUGUAGCCGGCCGGAUAAGUCUCUUGGGAAAUCCAGCAGCUCAACUGUUGGGCUUCCAGGAGAUACUGUUCGGCUCGAGGCCGGGAGAGGUGAGAGGUACUUCAGGGGUAGGGGUGAAAUCUUGUAAUCCUUGAAGGACCACCAGUGGCGAAGGCGUCUCACCAGAACGGACCUGACGGCAAGGGACGAAAGCUAGGGGCACGAACCGGAUUAGAUACCCGGGUAGUCCUAGCCGUAAACGAUACUCGCUAGGUGUCGGCCACGGUGCGACCGUUGUCGGUGCCGUAGGGAAGCCGUGAAGCGAGCCACCUGGGAAGUACGGCCGCAAGGCUGAAACUUAAAGGAAUUGGCGGGGGAGCACCACAAC
rnacentral:rRNA from 1 species